rnacentral:tRNA from 1 species
CGUGCAGCAUGAGCGACGUCCACACGUCCUCGGACUUGGAGUCCGAGUAGAUGCCGCCGAUCGAGUCGACGGCCGCCCGGC